rnacentral:rRNA from 1 species
AUUGAACGCUGGCGGCAUGCCUUACACAUGCAAGUCGAACGGCAGCGGACCUUCGGGUGCCGGCGAGUGGCGAACGGGUGAGUAAUGCAUCGGAACGUACCUUUCAGUGGGGGAUAACGUAGCGAAAGUUAUGCUAAUACCGCAUAUUCUGUGAGCAGGAAAGCAGGGGAUCGCAAGACCUUGCGCUGAUUGAGCGGCGGAUGUCAGAUUAGGUAGUUGGUGAGGUAAAGGCUCACCAAGGCGACGAUCGGUAGCGGGUCUGGCGAGAGGAUGAUCCGCCACACUGGGACUGAGACACGGCCCAGACUCCUACGGGAGGCAGCAGUGGGGAAUUUUGGACAAUGGGGGCAACCCUGAUCCAGCCAUGCCGCGUGAGUGAAGAAGGCCUUCGGGUUGUAAAGCUCUUUCGGCCGGGAAGAAAUCGCACAGGCUAAUACCUUGUGUGGAUGACGGUACCGGAAUAAGAAGCACCGGCUAACUACGUGCCAGCAGCCGCAGUAAAAC